GACGAACGCUGGCGGCGUGCUUAACACAUGCAAGUCGAACGGAAAGGCCCUGCUUGCAGGGUGCUCGAGUGGCGAACGGGUGAGUAACACGUGGGUGAUCUGCCCCUUACUUUGGGAUAAGCCUGGGAAACUGGGUCUAAUACUGGAUAGGACCAUGCUGUAGGUGGUGUGGUGGAAAGAUUAGUUUCGGUAAGGGAUGAGCUCGCGGCCUAUCAGCUUGUUGGUGGGGUAAUGGCCUACCAAGGCGUCGACGGGUAGCCGGCCUGAGAGGGUGGACGGCCACAUUGGGACUGAGAUACGGCCCAGACUCCUACGGGAGGCAGCAGUGGGGAAUAUUGCACAAUGGGCGCAAGCCUGAUGAAGCGACGACGCGGGGGGGAUGACGGCCUUCGGGUUGUAAACUCCUUUCAGCCAUGACGAAGCCCUUGUGGUGACGGUAGUGGUAGAAGAAGCACCGGCUAACUACGUG
rnacentral:rRNA from 1 species